UUCAGUGGUGUCUGGGUGUUCAUCUCUUGAACUUCCUAGUUACCUUUUUGAUUUAAGUUAGUUUAAAAAAAUCCAGCCUCAAGAUAUAUGAAAGUCCACUUCCCUUUCUAGGCAGAACUCUUCCAAUUCAGGUUCAAAUAAACUGGAGAUAUGAAGAUUUAGCCUGAAAAGUCACAAUUUUUCCAAUCAAUGAAGAUGAGAAAGCCUUUGAAGGAUUUUGAAUAGUAAAGUGGUACAUCGCAUUUAACAGGAUCACAGUGGCAGCUGUGUUGAAAGCAGAAGGAAGAGGAAGAGGAAGCCUAAACCAGAGCACCUGCAACUUAAAGGUUUACUGCCUUCAAGAGAAGUCCACUUCAAUAGGAAAAUCAAAGGAUGACUUCAGAGACCACAACUAGGCUGAGAAAACUCACCAACAGCAUGAAACUCUCAAAGCAUAUUUUCCAAGAAAAGAGGUGGUUAUCGUAAGCUUUAGAUAUUCUCCAACCUGAAUUUGUCCAGAGGUCUGAAAUUUAUGAAAACGAAACCCAAAGCCUAAUUUUGUGGGUGGCUGAAUUACAAUGCCAACUGAGUUCCCAACCACACAGGGCGCCUUUAUUAACAUUGAUUGGAAGGAAUGGGAUCCUGAAAACUGGAAUCAGCACAUGUGGGCAGAUUCAGAUGAAGAUGGGGUCUUGAAUCUCCAAAUUCCACUGAGCUUUCUGUGCCAGAAGAAACAGCCCUGCCACCCUUGCUGUAGGAGGUUAGUCUCUCUUUGACUGAAAAACCUCUAAAAGUCUCUCCCCUGAGGUAGCUGUCUUACAAGAUAUUGCUGAUCCUCCCCUGGACCUAUCCCCACAGACCCUCCUUUCCUCUAGUCCAUAGCCGGACUCAAGUCCUAGCAGACUCAAAACCUGUGAGGAGGUAUGAUAUAGCUCCUUCACCAACUUGCAUAAUUUUAAU